rnacentral:rRNA from 1 species
CUACGGGUCGCACCAGUGGGGAAUAUUGCACAAUGGGGGAAACCCUGAUGCAGCAACGCCGCGUGGAGGAUGACGCAUUUCGGUGUGUAAACUCCUUUUAUAUAGGAAGAUAAUGACGGUACUAUAUGAAUAAGCACCGGCUAACUCCGUGCCAGCAGCCGCGGUAAUACGGAGGGUGCAAGCGUUACUCGGAAUCACUGGGCGUAAAGCGCGCGCAGGCGGCCCCUUAAGUUGGAUGUGAAAGCCUACGGCUUAACCGUAGAACUGCAUCCAAAACUGAGGGGCUAGAGUCUGGGAGGGGAAGAUGGAAUUAGUUGUGUAGGGGUAAAAUCCGUAGAGAUAACUAGGAAUACCAAAAGCGAAGGCGAUCUUCUGGAACAGUACUGACGCUGAGGCGCGAAAGCGUGGGGAGCAAACAGGAUUAGAUACCCUUGUAGUC